CCACCGUCUACUCCAGCCAAUCAGACAACAAGCACAUUGUGCUGACCAAUCGUGGCACGAUCUCCCUUCAACCAAUCACAGAGUCUUUUCUAGAAACAUUGUGCAAAAGACCCAGACGGAGGAGGACUUUUAUUAUGACAGCGAGUAUCGCUCACUCAAAGCAAUGGCGGAAGAGCGCUUGCUUUGUACAAGUGUCUCGCUGUGUGAGGCAUGAAUCAUGUUGUUGUGGAGACAAUAGCACCAGAUUGUUACGCGGUGUGUUCAUGUGCGUCAUUAAAGGAACCACAUCUACACCUGCCUAUGAUCUGGCUAAGCUCUCAAAUAUAGCCAGGCACUCAUGCAUCUCCAUUCACAUGCCAUGCAACCAAGCUCAUAAAUACAGCUCUGGCCUAUCUCUCUUAAAGGAGCAUACCCUCAUCCUGUGCAGAGCUUCAUUAAAGGACUUCUACCAAUAUUCACCAUUACCUUCAUCAACGACUGCUCUGCUAUCCAAGUUGUGCCUCUCAUUCAGAGUUCUGUGCUGUGUGUGCUACCCUUAUAAAUACUGAAUGCUGGCUCUCUCCUAUCUAAUGUAUGUUCUCUUGUGUGCCUAAUAAACAGCUCAAGUUGG